CGAGCGGCGGACGGCUGAGUAACGCGUAGGAACGUACCCCAAAGUGAGGGAUAAGCACCAGAAAUGGUGUCUAAUACCGCAUGUGGUCUUCGGAUUAAAGCUUCGGCGCUUUGGGAACGGCCUGCGAAAGAUUAGCUUGUUGGUGAGGUAAAAGCUCACCAAGGCGACGAUCUUUAGCUGGUCUGAGAGGAUGAUCAGCCAGACUGGGACUGAGAACGGCCCAGACUCCUACGGGAGGCAGCAGUAGGGAAUUUUCCACAAUGGGCGAAAGCCUGAUGGAGCAACGCCGCGUGCAGGAUGAAUGCCUUUGGGUUGUAAACUGCUUUUAUAUGUGACGAUUAUGACGGUAGCAUAUGAAUAAGGAUCGGCUAAUUCCGUGCCAG
rnacentral:rRNA from 1 species